rnacentral:rRNA from 1 species
GAUGAACGCUGGCGGCGUGCCUAAUACAUGCAAGUCGAGCGAACAGACGAGGAGCUUGCUCCUCUGACGUUAGCGGCGGCCGGGUGAGUAACACGUGGAUAACCUACCUAUAAGACUGGGAUAACUACGGGAAACCGGAGCUACUACCGGAUAAUAUAUUGAACCGCAUGGUUCAAUAGUCAAAGACGGUUUUGCUGUCACUUAUAGAUGGAUCCGCGCCGCAUUAGCUAGUUGGUAAGGUAACGGCUUACCAAGGCGACGAUGCGUAGCCGACCUGAGAGGGGGAUCGGCGACACUGGAACUGAGACACGGUCCAGACUCCUACGGGAGGCAGCAGUAGGGAAUCUUCCGCAAUGGGCGAAAGCCUGACGGAGCAACGCCGCGUGAGUGAUGAAGGUCUUCGGAUCGUAAAACUCUGUUAUUAGGGAAGAACAAAUGUGUAAGUAACUAUGCACGUCUUGACGGUACCUAAUCAGAAAGCCACGGCUAACUACGUG